GUGAGAUUUCUUCAAAACUCGGUUGGGUUGAAAUGUUUAUACUUUAAAGGGACACUAUAGGCACCCAGACUACUUUAGCUCAUUGAAGUGUCAGAGGUGUAACUAGAAACCACGGGGCCCCGAUGCGAACAUUGCCCUGGGCCCCCCCAUACGUCUCCGCGCCUCCCACACACACAUGUACACAUACAUACAAACACACACAUACACACAGAGACCCAUACAUACACACACACACACACACACAUGUAGAGACACACACAGACACACACAUACACACACAUACACUCAUAUACACACACACUCAGACACACAGAGUCACAGACACAUGCACUCACAGACACACACAUACACUCACAGACACACACACACACCUUACCUGGAGAGCUGGCGUGGAUCUGUCCCUGGGGUCCAGUGGGGCUUCAGUGAGGCAAGCGGCUGUGUUCCCGGCAGAGGCAGCUGUGUUCUCCCUACUCUGCUCCCUCACACCGCGAGGGCUGUCUACUG